AUGUGGCACUCACAUAUAUACUAACAUUGGAACAAUAUAGAGAUUAGCAUGGACCCUGACCCUGAGAUGGAUGAUAUGCAAAUUUGUGAAGCAUUUCAUGUGUUU